UGGGGAAUAUUGCACAAUGGGGGAAACCCUGAUGCAGCGACGCCGCGUGAACGAAGAAGGUAUUCGUAUCGUAAAGUUCUGUCCUAUGGGAAGAUAAUGACAGAACCAUAGAAGAAAGCUCCGGCUAAAUACGUGCCAGCAGCCGCGGUAAUACGUAUGGAGCGAGCGUUGUCCGGAAUUAUUGGGCGUAAAGGGUACGCAGGCGGUUUAAUAAGUCGAAUGUUAAAGAUCGGGGCUCAACCCCGCAAAGCAUUGGAAACUGAUAAACUUGAGUAGUGGAGAGGAAAGUGGAAUUCCUAGUGUAGUGGUGAAAUACGUAGAUAUUAGGAGGAAUACCAGUAGCGAAGGCGACUUUCUGGACACAAACUGACGCUGAGGUACGAAAGCGUGGGGAGCAAACAGG
rnacentral:rRNA from 1 species